rnacentral:rRNA from 1 species
UAGGGAAUCUUCGGCAAUGGACGAAAGUCUGACCGAGCAACGCCGCGUGAGUGAAGAAGGUUUUCGGAUCGUAAAACUCUGUUGUUAGAGAAGAACAAGGACGUUAGUAACUGAACGUCCCCUGACGGUAUCUAACCAGAAAGCCACGGCUAACUACGUGCCAGCAGCCGCGGUAAUACGUAGGUGGCAAGCGUUGUCCGGAUUUAUUGGGCGUAAAGCGAGCGCAGGCGGUUUCUUAAGUCUGAUGUGAAAGCCCCCGGCUCAACCGGGGAGGGUCAUUGUAAACUGGGAGACUUGGGUGCAGAGGAGGGGAGUGGAAUUCCAUGUGUGGCGGUGAAAUGCGUAGAUGUAUGGAGGAACGCCAGUGGCGAAGGCGGCUGUCUGGUCUGUAACUGACGCUGGGGCUCGAAAGCGUGGGGAGCAAACAGG